GCGGAGGUGGCGAAAUUGGCAGACGCACAAGCUUGAGGUGCUUGCGCCGCAAGGCAUAGGGGUUCAAAUCCCCUCCUCCGCACCA
rnacentral:tRNA from 3 species